AUUCCUACGGGAGGCAGCAGUGGGGAAUUUUGCACAAUGGGGGCAACCCUGAUGCAGCGACGCCGCGUGAUUUGGAAGGCCUUCGGGUUGUAAAAAUCUUUUGUAUGGGAAGAAAAUGACAGUACCAUACGAAUAAGGACCGGCUAAUUACGUGCCAGCAGCCGCGGUAAUACGUAAGGUCCGAGCGUUGUCCGGAAUCAUUGGGCGUAA
rnacentral:rRNA from 1 species